rnacentral:lncRNA from 1 species
GAUGAAUGGAGAUGAAUAAUGAAAAUCUCCAUUCCUAUUGGUCAAAAAUCAUGACCAAUGGGCUUUGAGGAGGCUGCCCGAGGCCAUAUUAGGGAUUAGGAUUAGUUUCUCGAGGCCAUUUGAGGUUUGAAGGCUAGAUUCAGAAAGUUUAGGUUUUUGGCUAUGGUUUUGGUACAAGUUUUGUAUGGUUUGAAGUUUAUAUGAAGGAGAUACAAGCGCUCAAAGUUAAGGUAUUGAUUUGGGAGCUACUGUCACUCUUUUGGACAUAACGUAUGCAUACAGACAGCAAUUGAGGAUCGACGAUUGCGAUUGGAGACAAUACUUUUGCAGCUACACUUUUUACAUAUUACUUACUGGAUUCCAAGUUGAAGUGAAGGAGUUAUUAGAUUUUGAAGUUAGUGCAUGCAAUCUAAGGGUAGUAAGUAAUCCGAUUUGCUAGUGGUUGUCUCUUGAGCUAUAUCUUGAGCAAUUUGAUAAGGUUUUGGCUAAAAAUUUCAAGGAAUCUGUAAUUUCAUGUUAUUAAACUUUAUGCAUAAGUUUUAUGAUAUUUGAGUAUUGGAUUCUUGAGAUAUUAAGAAAAUAGUGUUCAGGUGCUUGUCAAUUA